AUGCCAGGCGCUCUGGUGCCCUGUCCAUGAAUCCUUGCCACAGCCCUGCAAGGAAAGAGCUGGAGUUGCCUCCUGUGUACAGGAACUCCUGCAGACCCAGGACUUCAGCAAGUUCCAGGCCCUGAAGCCCAAGCUGCUGGACACGGUGGAUGACAUGCUGGCCAAUGACAUCGCGCGGCUGAUGGUGAUGGUGCGGCAGGAGGAGUCCCUGAUGCCUUCCCAGGUGGUCAAGGGCGGCGCCUUUGACGGCACCAUGAACGGGCCGUUCGGGCACGGCUACGGCGAGGGGGCCGGCGAGGGCAUCGAUGAUGUGGAGUGGGUGGUGGGCAAGGACAAGCCCACCUACGACGAGAUCUUCUACACGCUGUCCCCCGUCAAUGGCAAGAUCACGGGUGCCAACGCCAAGAAGGAGAUGGUGAAGUCCAAGCUCCCCAACACCGUGCUAGGGAAGAUCUGGAAGCUGGCCGACGUGGACAAGGACGGGCUGCUGGACGACGAGGAGUUCGCGCUGGCCAACCACCUCAUCAAGGUCAAGCUGGAGGGCCAUGAGCUGCCCGCCGACCUGCCCCCGCACCUGGUGCCGCCCUCCAAGCGCAGGCAUGAGUGAUGGCGCCCAGCCCCGCACCUGCCAUCUGCGCGCCCUGCCGG
rnacentral:sRNA from 1 species